rnacentral:rRNA from 1 species
CCUACGGGCGGCAGCAGUGAGGAAUAUUGGUCAAUGGGCGCUAGCCUGAACCAGCCAAGUAGCGUGAAGGAUGACUGCCCUAUGGGUUGUAAACCUCUUUUGUAGGGGAAUAAAGUGCAGUAUGUAUGCUGCUUUGCAGGUACCUUGUAGAUAAGGAUCGGCUAACUCCGUGCCAGCAGCCGCGGUAAUACGGAGGAUUCGGGCGUUAUCCGGAUUUAUUGGGUUUAAAGGGGGCGUAGGCGGGUGGUCAAGUCAGUAGUGAAAGUUUGGGGCUCAAACGCAAGAUUGCAGUUGAUAAUGGCAUCCUUGAGUGCAGGAGAGGUAGGCGGAAUUCGUGGUGUAGCGGUGAAAUGCUUAGAUAUCACGAAGAACUCCGAUUGCGAAGGCAGCUUGCUGGACUGUAACUGACGCUGAUGCUCGAAAGUGUGGGUAGCAAACAGGAUUAGAUACCCCAGUAGUC